CCUACGGGUGGCAGCAGUGGGGAAUAUUGCACAAUGGGGGGAACCCUGAUGCAGCGACGCCGCGUGAGUGAAGAAGUAUUUCGGUAUGUACAGCUCUAUCAGCAGGGAAGAAAAUGACGGUACCUGCCUAAGAAGCCCCCGCUAACUACGUGCCAGCAGCCGCGGUAAUACGUAGGAGGCAAGCGUUAUCCGGAUUUACUGGGUGUAAAGGGAGCGUAGACGGCAGAGCAAGUCUGAAGUGAAAGCCCGCGGCGCAACUGCGGGACUGCUAUGGAAACGGCACGGCUAGAGUGCUGGAGAGGUAAGCGGAAUUCCUAGUGUAGCGGUGAAAUGCGGAGAUAUUAGGAGGAACACCAGUGGCGAAGGCGGGUUACUGGACAGUAACUGACGUUGAGGCUCGAAAGCGUGGGGAGCAAACAGGAUUAGAUACCCUUGUAGUC
rnacentral:rRNA from 1 species